GAACCAGCCAACCUGAAGAACGCCCUCGCGCUCGUUUCGUCCAACACCUCUGCCGCUCCUCACCCCGCGAGAUGCGAAGGUUCUGCAGCGUCCCGCGCGGCCGGCGGCCGUCGGCCCCCCACGGCGCCGGCCACCCUCCGCCGGAGUGGAUCGAGCCGUACACGGACCUCGCCGACCCGAGCCCGUACACGGCCGCCUCGGCCGCGACGCCCACCCCGUCGCCGUGGCUGCCGCGCGUCGUCUCCCUGGUCCUGCGCGCGCCGCCGGCCACGCUCGCCGCCGACCUGCGCGCCUUCUGCCGCACCUUCCUCCUGCGCCUCUCCCCGGCCUUCGUCGCCGCCGCGCUGCGCUCCCCGCAGCUUCUCCCGCACCCGCUCCCGUCGCUCCGCUUCUUCCGCGCCCUGCCCGGCGGCGCCGACGACCUCGCCGCCCACCCGCAGCACCUCCUCGGCUGCUACGUCUCGCUGCUCCACUCCUUCGCGCGCGCCAGGGAGGCCACCCCAGACGCCACCGGCCACGCGCGGCGGCUCGUCGCCGAGCUGCGCGCCCGCGGGGACGGGGACGGCCUGCUGGGGCACCUCACGCCGCCGUCGGCCGCGUCGCUCGUCCGCAGCCUCGCGGCCCUCGGCCUCGCCGACGAGCUGCUGUGGGCGUGGAACGGCAUGCGCCUCGCCGGCGUCGAGCCCUCCAGGGUCACCUACAACUGCCUCCUCGACGGCCUCGUCAACGCGGGCCUCCUUGACACCGCCGUCAACGUGUUCGACGCAAUGUCCACGGAAGACCCGGUUCGCCCUGACGUGGUCUCCUACAACAUUCUCAUCAAGGGGUACUGCCGCGCCGGGAGGGUGCAGGAUGCGAUGGCACGGCUCGAUCACAUGAGGGAUCAGGCGGAGCUCUCCCCCGACAAGAUAACGUACCUCACGCUGAUGCAGUGCCAUUACAGCGAGGGCACGUUUUCACAGUGUGUAGCGUUGUUCCAAGAGAUGGAAGAGAGGGGAAUGGGGAAGGACAUUCCGCAGCAUGCGUAUGUGCUGGUGAUCGGCGCGCUCUGCAAGGACGGGAAGCCGUUUGAGGGAAUGGCCGUGUUUGAGAGAAUGCUCAAGCGUGGUUGCCCAGCCAAAGCAGCAAUGUACACUUCGCUCAUCGAUUCAAUGGGCAAAUUUGGGAGGGAGACCGAGGCAAUGUCACUCUUUGAGAGGAUGAAGAGUAGCGGGCUUGAGCUCGACGCCGUCACGUAUGGAGUGAUUGUUAACUGCUUGUGCCGGUUCGGGAGGCUGGAUGAGGCCAUUUCAUGUUUCAGGAGCUGUGAGGAGAAAGGUAUUGCAGUGAACCCUAUCUUCUAUACAAGCCUGAUUGAUGGCUUUGGGAAAGCUGGAAUGGUCGACCAAGCACAGGAGCUCUUCGAGGAGAUGAAAGUUAAAGGUUUUGUGCCGGACUCAUAUUGCUACAACGUGCUGAUUGAUGGGUUAGCUAAAGCAGGAAGGACGGAUGAUGCUUGUGCCUUGUACAAGAGAAUGGAAGAUGAUGGCUGCGAUCAGACUGUUUACACGUAUACCAUACUGAUCGAUGGUUUGUUCAAGGAACACAAGAAUGAGGAGGCGCUGAAGUUGUGGGAUGCGAUGAUCGACAAGGGGAUCACUCCCACAGCUGCAGCUUUCAGGGCCCUUGCCAACGGGCUAUGUCUUUCUGGCAAAUACAGCCGAGCAUGCAGGAUAUUGGAUGAACUGGCUCCAAUGGGUGUGAUUCCUGAGACGGCACACGAGGACAUGAUCAAUGCUCUGUGCAGGGCCGGGAGAUUCAAGCAGGCCUGCAAAUUGGCAGAUGGCAUCGUGGGAAAGGGCCGUGAGAUACCUGGCAGGGUUCGAACAAUGAUGAUCAACGCACUCAGGAAAGCGGGGAAUACUGAUCUAGCUGUCAAGCUGGUGCAUAGUAAGAUAGGCAUUGGGUAUGAAAGAUCUGGCAGCAUCAAGAGAAGAGUAAAGUUUCAGACGCUGUUUGCCUGAGCCACCGAUGUUUGUUCUCAGUGGUGCGUAGACAUCAAGAAGUGCCAAAGAUUUACUGGAAGUGAGAAGACAUGCCAUAGGCUACACCGAGGUAUCGCAUAGUGCUCUAGACCAUGUUCUGAAAAGGCUCCACACCAGCAGGAGGAAUUUUGACAGUGUUCUGGAGCCAAAAAACUUGAAGCUCUUCCAGUUAUGAGCAAUCAAAGGGAAACAAAAUUGCUUGGCACAUGAGUCUCGCUGACGAGAGAUCUUGUAUGCUACUAGAUUUCAGGAAAAUGUGGGCCGUCCAUUGUUUUUGAAGGGACAGGAUCAAAACAUUAGUCCCUAAAUCAAGCGGUCAGGGUGUUGCUGGAAAAAGGUGCAGUUGUAGAGGCUGCAACUUAUCUGGCUAAACUUGAUGCAAAAACAGCUGUCACUUGAUGUUUCGACGAUUUUGUCAAUUGUAUCUCCCUUCUCAGGGAAAGAGAAAUUAAGGGAGCACAUAAAAUUGCUUCGGGUAAAGUACCAGCCUUCUGAGAAUUUCGGCUGACCAUUGAUACAGUAUACUUGAAACUUCGUACUGAAAAACAAGGUGGUAUUCACUCAUACUCCCUCCGUUCCAAAAUAGAUGACUCAAAACAAGGUGGGUCAUCUAUUUUGGAACAGAGGGAGUAGCUGACACAAUGAUAUUGCUGCCACCAGCCUUUACUGAAAAUGCAGAUAAUUCAUCCCUUCUGUUAUUGCUGCUGUUUGAUGAUGCCACGUCCAAAAUUAAAAUAACAAGCCUGAGGUCUGAGGGUCAUAUGAGUUUUCCCCCUUUUUUUGUGAUGAAGAAAGCGUAACUCUGGUCUGGAAAGUUUGGAUAUGUGUUACACAUCACAUAUUCAGGCCUAUUCAGAGUAUCCAAGUUUGUGGCAAAGUACUUGGCAAUUGUCACCAAUGAAAUCCUGGUUACUUUCAGUACCGGCUCUCUCAACAGUAGCGCUAUUUUUUUAGGAGUGUAAUUGUGCUGUAUUCAUGGGCUGCAGACUGGUAAACAGAAUUGAACUGUGUUCUCAUCUAAAAGCAGUUUCCUGCGCUAGUGCACUUCAGUUAGUAAUCUGAUUUUACUUCAGGGCUAUUAAGCAUGUUUUGUGCUUCUCCCUGGAACUGCUGACUGUGAAGCUAGAGCUAUCAAAGGGAAGAUGAACAGAGCGAGAAGGGUCAGUGCUGUACUGCUGUUGGGAUUCUAGGGUGCUGUGUGGUUAUCGUGAAGACAAUUUUUAGAUAAAAAGUUAUGCAAUCUGGAGGCCACCGAUGGAUACUUGGUGAAAGUACCAGUAUGCGGGAAAGCAGCUACUUUGGUUGAAACACAAUGCUUGCCAAAUGAAACCAAGCAAAUGCUGCAAUAUGUGAAAGAAGUUGAUAAGGAACAAUCUAACAAAGUAUGCAUUCCCAAGAGAAGAUGAGCUUCCUUCUCAGGCUUGCUAUGUGCGCAGAAAUAUUCUGAUGAAACCGAGAAGAAUGUUGUGCGUGUGUGUUAAAACUUUCAGUUGGCUAUGUGCACAACCAAAUAAAGGUCUACAUUAAUAAUUAUGAAUUUCUUAUUGUAUAUGAGUAUCGUUUCCGCAAUGCCGCUUGCUUUACUCGGAAAAGGUUCAUCUUAUCUUUUGUUCAGU